GUCCUUGAAGAAUAUAUACAAGUAGGAUCAUAUAGAAACUGUUCUAUGAGAAACCUGAGGUCCAAAGAAAUUCCAGAACUUUGUCAAGUUGACAUAGCUAAUGAGAAAACCAAUGCUCUGAGAGAUUAACUUGCCUGAGAUCUCAAAAUUAAUGGUGAGACAGGGAUAUAAGUCUGCUUGAGUGUAGUUUAUAUUGUUUCUAUUACCCCAAACUGUUGCUCCAAGAAAUGCUUGGAUGCCCAGAAAUUGGGGCCUUGCCACCACCAGGUCAGCAGCAGUUUUGGUGUUUUAGGGUAUUCUCUAGUCUUGAUUGUUCCUAAAGAAUUGAUGUUUUACUCUUAAUUUCAGUCUGUAGUCAGAUUGAAGGACUGUGAGAGAGAGAGAGGUACAUCAUUAGAAUAGAGGUGGAUUUUCAGUUUACAAACCUUUUAUUAGAAAUAUUAGACCAUGGUUAGGAUUAAAUGUUUAUUGUAGUGGGGACAGGUUGAGCCUUAAGAAGGGCAGUCAAAACUAGAUGACCUGUCAGUUUAUGAGGUUCCUUAGUAUUAAUACACUCCCAAAGUCAAAGCAUUGACCAUCUUUUGAUCAAGACUGUUAGAAACUAUUGUUUAUAUAUUCUGCCUUGGGUAGUUUAACUUGGGGUCAGAAAUCAUUACUUCGCCCCAUAUAUCUUAAGUGUUUUUAUAACCUGAGAAGUUAAUUGUACGUGAUGCUGUAAAGAAAAAAAAAAUAUAUUUUAACUCUAAAAUCUCAAAUCCUACGUAAUUUGUCUGUUGAUGAGAUUAAGGUUCAGCAACCUCUCCAGAAUUACAUCAUGUAUUUAGCUUGGAUUAUGAACCAUUUACAGACACAGUUCGAUGUGGGUUUUAUGCUUCCAAUCCCGUUAUUAAGAUGACUUACUGCAUAAAGUCAGAACAUGCAUUAACUCUAAUUCAGCGAAUUGAUUUUAGAUAUUUUUUAAAUGACCAUGAUUAUCUUUAAAAGACAGUAGCUAUCAUCAAAAACAGAUUUUUUUUAAGUGCUUGAGAAACUGCUGUGAAUCUAAAUCAAAUUCUAUUUCAGCAAGGUCCAUAUGUGUUAACAGGGUAGCCUCAGUUAAGUGUAUGAGUGUACGAUAUUAAAGUGUAUGUUUGACAUGAAAAUCCUUUUCUGUUAUAAAUUAGAUUUAGAUUAGAAAGUCAGUGUACUGUGUUAUAUGGAGAAUUUUACAAGUGAGAGGAGCAUUAGCUGUCAGCCUGACCUUCGUCUUUAUGAGUAGAGGUUGUGGCGCCUUGUUUGCUGCUUUCCUUGUGUGAUGCUGUGUCUUUUAAAUUCAGAUUGCCACAGUGUCCUAGUUGUCAUCACCUUCAUUGCACUACUGUACAUGGAUGAAACACAGGAGGUUAUACGUAGCACAGGGUAUUCUGGUUUAGGUAUGUUUUGAAAAUAGCUAUUAGUUCUUUACUCUUUGUUUUCUGUUCCCCAAUGCUUUCUAGGAAGUGCAGCUUCCUUUUUUUUCCCUUUCUGUUUUUAUUCCCAUCAUGGUCUUGUCCCGUCCAUCAUGCCUUUCUCCUCUGGCUUUUAAAUCUGGAAAAUUGAACGUUUAUUUCUCUUUGUUCAGUCUGAUAAAUUAACAUACUUAAAUCACCUCUAGUUAACUUAAUUCAAUGAAUUAUGUAUCUUCCAUAUCUCAGAGUUGAAUGAAACCACAUCUGAUUUAUGAAUCUAUGAAAAAUAGUGAUUUGCUCCUUUAAAAUUUCUGUAAGAGGAGUAGAACUUGCUAUCUAAUGAGGUGAUCUAGUCCAAAUUUGUUUCAUAAGUUUUCUCAUACUGAGCAGAAAUCUGUCUCUGCCUAAAUUUAGUCUUGUCUUCUGGAGCUUUUCAUGUCAUAUUUUUUUCAGUUUUCAUGACACUUUCUAGUUUCUUCAACAUUCUUGCUUGCUUUCCCGGAUACCCUCCAGUUUGUCAAAGCCUGUCUAGAUAUUUUGAGGUGGGGCAUUUGAUAUCUUAGUUCCCCCACCAAGGAUCAAAUCCUUGUCCCCUGCAGUGGAAGAGUGGAGUCUUAAUCACUGGACUGGCAGUGAAGUCUCUAUUUUUAAAAGGAGCAGUAUACUCUAGAUUUGGUCUCAGUGUAGAGCUAAAAUAUCAUCCUUAACUUUGAUUUCUAAUUACUAUCUCUGAAUCAUGUUCUGCUUUUUAGUAGGCAGAGAAAAUGUGGAAUAAUGUAGAACGGGUCAUAUUGCCUAGUUGGAGUUGUACCUUUACAGUUUAGUUGUAGUUUUGAGUGAGUACACUGCUGGGCCCUGUUUGUUGUAUUCUAUGAGAUGGGGCUAAUUGUAGUUUGUACCUCAGAGGUAAGUUUAUGGAAGGAUCAAUUAGUCCAUAUAAAGUGCUUAGUUUACAUGUUAAAAAUGACAUUUAUUACUGAAGUGAUGUUUUUAUUACAUUUCUCAGUUGUCUCUUGCUGCAUAACAAACCGAUAAAAACUAAAAUACAGUGAUUUAGUUCUUUUUCAUGACUCUGUGGCUUGUCUGGAUUCUUUUGGACAUUUUUUCACAUGGUGUUGGCUGUAGUCAUUCAUUGCUGUCUUCAGCUGGGUCUGAAGUACCCGUGUGGCUUCACUAAACAUGUCUCAUGACUGUGGCUGACUUGACCUUUCUAGCAGGAUAGUUUUUGUUUUUUUUUUUUUAAUGCUGGCUUAGGGCUCAAAGAGAGCAAUAGGGGAAACUGCUAGUCCUCAUAAGGGUUAGGUCUGGAACUGGAAUAGGAGUCCUCUUUAUCACAUUCUGUUUCGUUAAAGCUAAUCAACAAAGUUAACCCUGACUCAGGAGCAUGAUGGAGGCCAUCUCUGGAGUCAGUCUACCACAAUUCUGUUCUUUCACAGUUAGCCUUUUGAACCAAAUUUAAUCUUUAAUCCAGUCUGUCUUGCUUUUUUUUUUGUUGUUGUUUUGUUUAAAUCUUAAUUUUUUACCUUUAUGUCAUCAAGAUUUUAAGUUUGUCAUGUAUCCCUUUCUCAACUUUUUAUUUUGAACAGCUUUACUGAGGUCUAGUUGACACAAAGAACUGCAUGUAUUUAUUUAAUGGGUACAGAGUGAUGAGUUGCUUUUUCAACUUUUUGUAGUCAGCAUUUUAUCAGAAACAUUCACCACUGUGUUGACACUUGGUUCUUUUGGUCUAUCAUUAGGCCAGUAAGCAGUCUGACUUUUGCCUUUUGUUACUUGUAGGUUCCAGUUCAGUUCAGUUGCUCAGUCGAGUCCGACUCUUUGCGACCCCAUGGACUGUGCAGCAUGCCAGGCCUCCCUGUCCAUCACCAACUCCCGGAGUCUACCCAAACUCAUGUCCAUUGAGUCAGUGAUACCAUCCAACCAUCUUUAUCCUCUGUCGUCCCCUUCUCCUACCUUCGGUCUUUCCCAGCAUCAGGGUCUUUUCAAAUGAGGCAACUCUUCCCAUCAGGUGGCCAAAGUAUUGGAGUUUCAGCUUCAACAUCAGUCCUUCCAAUAAACACUCAGGACUGAUCUCCUUUAGGAUGGACUGGUUGAAUCUCCUUGCAGUCCAAGGGACUCUCAAGAGUCUUCUCCAACAACACCACAGUUCAAAAGCAUCAGUUCUUCUGUGCUCAGAUUUCUUUAUAAUCCAACUCUUAACAUCCACACAUAACCACUGGAAAAACCAUAGCCUUGACUCAGUGGACCUUUGUUGGCAAAGUAAUGUCUCUGCUUUUUAAUAUGCUGUCUAGGUUGGUCAUAACUUUUCUUCCAAGGAGUCAGUGUCUUUUAAUUUCAUGGCUGCAGUCACCAUCUGCAGUGAUUUUAGAGCCCAAAAAAAUAAAGUCUGCCACUGUUGGCCAUGAAGUGAUGGGACUGGAUGCCAUGGUCUUAGUUUUCUGAAUAUUGAGUUUUAAACCAACUUUUUCACUCUCCUUUCACUUUCAUCAAGAAACUCUUUAGUUCUUCACUUUCUGCCAUAAGGGUGGUGUCAUCUGCAUAUCUGAGGUUAUUGAUAUUUCUCCCAGCAAUCUUGAUUGCAGCUUGUGCUUCAUCCAGCCCAGUGUUUCUCAUGAUGUACUCUGCAUAUAAGUUAAAUAAACAGGGUGACAAUAUACAGCCUUGACGUACUCCUUUCCCUAUUUGGAACCAGUCUGUUAUUCCAUGUCCAGUUCUAACUGUUGCUUCCUGACCUGCAAGUUUCUCAAGACACAAGUCAGAUGGUCUGGUAUUCCCAUCUCUUUCAGAAUUUUCCACAGUUUAUUAUGAUCCACACAGUCAAAGACUUUGGCAUAGUCAAUAAAACAAAUAGAUGUUUUUCUGGAACUCUCUUGCUUUUUCAAUGAUCCAGCAGAUGUUGGCAAUUUGACCCCUGGUCCCUCUGCCUUUUCUAAAGCCUGCUUGAACAUCUGGAAUUUCAUGGUUCACAUAUUGUUGAAGCCUGGCUUGGAGAGUUUUGAGCAUUACUUUAUUAGUGUGUGAGAUAAGUGCAUCCGGUUAAUAAAUAGCUUUAAAAAAUAGGUUUUUUUGUAAUUAUUUUAAUCAGAUAUUAUGGAUAAAUUCAGUGUUCACCUUGGAGGAAGAGGUACUUAAUUGCUAAUUGAAAAAUUCUCAAUGUGAGUUACCCUAAUGUAAAACAGUAGUUUUUAGAGAGAAGCUACCACUCAUAAAAGAUGGGUUACAAAUUCUCAUGGCAUUUAUUGACACCCAGCCUAAGUAACUUCUCCAAGUUUGUAUACUUAUUUUAAAUGAUUUACCCUUAGCUAACUGCACAUGUUUGUGCCCUUCAUCUUUACAGUGGGUUAGAUAAAAGUCAUUGAAAAGUGGAAGGACAUGACCAGGCUGUUGUGUUAGUCCUUAGUUUCUAUAGUCCCUUCCCUGCUUGACAUUUUUUCCUUGUGCUGUCUUGCUCACUGUUUUCAGUGCCUCACACAAUGACAUUUAUGUUUUGGAGAAUAAGUCAAUGUUAAAAAAAAAAAUACGCGAAGUAGUAAAAUGUGACUUAGAAAUACCUAGAUAGGGAACUGAUUUCAUGGUUAGGCUUUUACUUGUCACUCUUUCAUUUGGAGAUACUCUUCAUAUAAUCUUAAAUGUACAUAAAUGAGCCAAAGAGCAGUUUAAUUAAUCUAAAGUUAUUUGUGAAUUCUGGUUAAUUGCAAUACACUUUUUCUUUAGUUAGACUUCAUAGCAUAACCUUUAGCCUAGCCAGUCAAGUGGAAUUGAUCCUUCCAGGUGUGGAGUGCCAUAGUCUAAACCUAGACAGACUCCAAAGCCAUGCUAUAUGGUCUCCUGGGUGUUGAUUGGAAGGACUGAUGCUGAAGCUGAAACUCCAAUACUUUGGCCACCUGAUGCAAAGAGCUGACUCAUUUGAAAAGACCCUGAUGCUGGGAAAGAUUGAAGGCAGGAGGAAAAGGGGACGACAGAGGAUGAGAUGGUUGGAUGGCAUCACCGACUCAAUGGACAUGGGUUUGGGUGGACUCUGGGAGUUGGUGAUGGACAGGGAGGCCUGGUGUGCUGCAGUUAUGGGAUCACAAAGAGUCAGACACAACCCAGCAACUGAAUUGAACUCCCAUAGUUGAAUGAAGAAUGCAUUUUGUAUUAAGAUAUAAAACUUGAAAAGGCCUGGGCAUUUAAUUUUAAAAACAAAACACUAUAUUAAUUGGAACGCUCUUACGCUGUUGAGGCAGAUCCUCAAAGACCAACCCUAGUGUUGACAGUGUUCAUGCCUCAAAAGAGGGUGAUAGUGUCUAAGGGACAAAACGGCAGGAAGUUUUAAUUCUGCUGAGUCUUCGGUUGUAGGCAUUCCUCCUUCAGAGAAGGCAGUGGUGUUUCAAACCCAGAGGGUUACUUUAUUUCUAGUCUGGUUGAGGUUCCACCCUUGUGUGUGUAUGUGUGUACGUUCAGUUGUGUCCAACUCUUUGUGGCUCCAUGGACUAAAGUCUGCCAGGCUUCUCUCUCCUUGAGAUUUUCCAGGGAAGAAUACUGGAGUGGGUUGCUAUUUCCUACUCCAGGGGAUCUUCUCCACCCAAGGAUCAAACCUGCAUCUCCUGCAUUGAUUGGUAGGUGCGUUCUUUACCGUUAGCACCACCGAGGAAGCCUUAAAAUUUAACUCAGUGAAGGAAUGAAUGACAGAACACUUUUGCAGCUGAGAGAUGACAGCUUGGGUGUCAUGUAAUAAUAAUUUUGUUACCUAACCAAAGUGCUCUUCUGAUUUCAGGCCAGCUAAUAAUCACAGGAAACAUUAUUUCAGGUUGAAUUCUGUCACCUCCAACCUUUUUCUGUAAUGCAUUGCAACCUGUUCCUACUACCAACUUGGAACUAACCAGUUCAUUUGAGUAUAUGUCGUUUUAAGUUGUAGGAAGGGGAGAGAAGCCAGAUUAAAGCUUACUCACCCACUUACCAUUUGGAACUUGAUAAUGGGAUAAACAAAAAGUUAGAGUUACUAUUUAAAAGCAUUUUUCAAACUGUUUGGCAUAUAAGUAAGUGCUGUAUAGACUGAACUACUGGGCAACUACAAGAAUAGAAACCAAGAAUUAAAUACCCUUUUUCCUUGUUAAAAUUGAGACUUGUUUGGGACUAAGCCCAGUUGAAAAUUGACUUUUGAUUCAUAGAGUAUAUUUAGUAGGAAGUGGAGAAUUUUUAAAAACAGUAAACAUUUUUCCUAAUUGUACUAAUGAAAUAUUACCUUUCUCUUCCUUAAAGGAAAUCAUUAUUUUAUUGUGCCUUAAUCCCCCUAAUACAGUGAAGUCAUGUUUUUCUGAAACCAUUUGUAGAAUUUAAUUAUUAGCAUGUUUGGAUUUAAUUAGAUUGUUACAGUUUUGAACAGAAUUACGUAGGGUGAAGUUUUACUUGUUGUUUCGGGUGAUUGGUAAACAUAUAUCUUAUUAGCUGAGAAUCACUUUAAUGAACUAACUAACGGUUUACUCUUCAGAUCUUUAAUUCUCAUACUCCUACCAGUGUUUUAAUUUAGAUAGGAAAAAUAGAACUUUUACUUUGAAUAGCUUUUUACCUUAGAAGGUAUUACUUUAAUUGUAGUCUUAUAGAUGAAGUUUUGUUCUGCUUCCUCUGUCAUGGACUGUGGUAGUGUCUAUUAUAGUAAUGGUUUCUGCUUAAGUCAUAUACUGUCACAGUCUCAAAAGGUUAAUGUCUACCUUCUUGCCAUUUUAGUGUCAUAACUACCUUGAAACUGAAAAGUUUGCCAGUUUGUUAAAUAUAUAUUAAUAAAACAUAAUACAUAACAAAGUUUUAUCAACUUUCAUGCUUUCACAUUCAUUGAAACAUGCAGUCUUUAUCAGCAUGUAAAUUAAUAAGCACUAUGAUGGAAAGGCCAAUAUUCAAAUUAGCCUUAAAUAGUAAGCUGAACACUAAUUUCAAAUUUUAAGUAUUGCUGUCCAAAUUGCUCCUGCUUUUAAAUGACAAAUUUAUGACCCUACUACAUUCAAAAGUAGUAUUAUUGGCAAUGACUGAGUAUUAAAAUUUUAUAACCUAAGUUGUGUGUGUUUUGGAAAUGCAGAUUCUUUCAAUUUUGUAAGUAUUUUAGUCUUAAUUAUGACUGUUUCUUUUCU